rnacentral:ncRNA from 19 species
GUCGCGACUGGCGCCGAGGUGGAUCACCACCGGGGAGCGAC